GAUCCUGGCUCAGGAUGAACGCUAGCGGCAGGCUCAACACAUGCAAGUCGGAGGGGCAGCAUAAUGGUAGCAAUACUAUUGAUGGCGACCGGCGGACGGGUGCGUAACGCGUAUGCAACCUACCCUUUACAGGGGGAUAACACUGAGAAAUCGGUACUAAUACCCCAUAAUAUUCCGGGAGGCAUCUUUCGGAGUUGAAAGCUUUGGUGGUAAAGGAUGGGCAUGCGUUGUAUUAGCUAGUUGGUAAAGG
rnacentral:rRNA from 1 species